AGUCAAUAGAUACCCUGGUAGUCCCAGCAGUAAACGGUGCGCGUUUGGUGUGAGCAGAUUCGACUCUGUUCGCGCCGGAGCUAACGCGUUAAACGCGCCGCCUGGGAAGUACGAUCGCAAGAUUAAAACUCAAAGAAAUUGACGGGGGCCUGCACAAGCGGUGGAGUAUGUGGCUUAAUUCGAUGCAACGCGAAGAACCUUACCUGGGUUUGACAUGCAUCUCUAAGGAGGUGAAAGCUUCCGAGGGUAGCAAUACCCGAUUUGCACAGGUGCUGCAUGGCUGUCGUCAGCUCGUGUCGUGAGAUGUUGGGUUAAGUCCCGCAACGAGCGCAACCCUUGUAUGCUGUUGCUAUGCUUACGCAUAGCUCUCUGCGUAGACUGCCCCGUGAAACGGGGAGGAAGGUGGGGAUGACGUCAAGUCAGCAUGGCCCUUACACCCCAGGGCUGCACACGUACUACAAUGCUCAGUACAAUUAGAACCUGCCCCGCGAGGGUUGGGAAAUCAGCG
rnacentral:rRNA from 1 species